GACGAACGCUGGCGGCGUGCUUAACACAUGCAAGUCGAACGGAAAGGCCCUGCUUUUGUGGGGUGCUCGAGUGACGAACGGGUGAGUAACACGUGAGUAACCUGCACUUGACUUUGGGAUAACUUCAGGAAACUGGGGCUAAUACCGGAUAGGAGCUCCUGCUGCAUGGUGGGGGUUGGAAAGUUUCGGCGGUUGGGGAUGGACUCGCGCCUUAUCAGCUUGAUGGGGUGGUAGUGGCUUACCAAGGCUUUGCCGGGUAGCCGGGCUGGGAGGGUGACCGGCCAAACUGGGACUGGGAUACGGCCCAGACCCCUACGGGAGGCAGCAGUGGGGAAUAUUGCACAAUGGGCUGAAGCAUGAUGCAGCAACGCCGCGUGCGGGAUGACGGCCUUCGGGUUGUAUACCGCUUUCGCCUGUGACGAAGCGUGAGUGACGGUAAUGGGUAAAGAAGCACCGGCUAACUACGUG
rnacentral:rRNA from 1 species